rnacentral:lncRNA from 1 species
GGCAACCUGCUUGGGUCCCUUUCCACACCGCGGAAGCUUUGUUCUUUUGCUCUUUGCAAUAAAUCUUGCUGCUGCUCACUCUUUGGGUCCACACUGCCUUUAUGAGCUGUAACACCGCGAAGGUCCACAGCUUCACUCCUGAGCCAGCGAGACCACGAACCCCACCAGAAGGAAGAAUCUGUGAACACAUCCGAACAUCAGAAGGAACAAACUCUAGACAUGCCGCCUUUAAGAACUGCAACACUCACUGCGAGUGUCCGCGGCUUCAUUCUUGAAGUCAGUGAGACGAAGAACCCACCAAUUCCAGACACAUUUUGGCGACCUAGAUGGGACAAUCGCCUAUCACCGAGUGGUGAGACCAUCGCCUAUAGCUGAGCGGCGAGACAAUCACCUAUCGCCAAGCAAUUACCUACCACUUCCAGGGUCAGAGCCCUUCACUUCAUAUUCAUGAGGAGACGGGGAAUUGGAAUAUACCCGCAGCCGACAAUCUCAGUGUGAAAUACUGGUUUACUGUUUGGAGAACAAUAGACAAUGAUCAACAACUGAAGAGCUGAGCUGGUCUUCAUCCUGUGCCAAAGGAAUGCGGUGUUUUUCACUGCUUUUUAAAAUAAGUAAUUUUCCUCUGGAUUAAAGCACCGAAGGCUUAACCCUGA